rnacentral:lncRNA from 11 species
GGCAUUUUCAAUUACUGCCCAGGGUUGAGGCCCCAGUAAUACCUUCUCACUAGCGACACGCUCCAAGCAAUAAUCAUAGGCAACUUUCAUCUGUUUCAAGGAUUUGCCUGUUGCUGUCUUACCUGCUAAAACAACUUCCCAUUGGGGAAAAUGCUUGCCUUGGACGUCAGAAUGAAGCUUCCAGUGAUGGCAUCAAUGAAUGAGAAGUCUAACCAUGCAAAAGCUGCAGUCUCCAGAUAUUCUUAUUUUUUCCCAAAUUUACAUGGCACUCUGAAG